rnacentral:rRNA from 1 species
CGAUUGUAGUCAUAUGCUUGUCUCAAAGAUUAAGCCAUGCAUGUCUAAGUAUAAGCAAUUAUACCGCGAAACUGCGAAUGGCUCAUUAAAUCAGUUAUCGUUUAUUUGAUAGUACCUUACUACAUGGAUAACCGUGGUAAUUCUAGAGCUAAUACAUGCUAAAAAUCCCGACUUCGGAAGGGAUGUAUUUAUUAGAUUAAAAACCAAUGCCCUUCGGGGCUCUCUGGUGAUUCAUAAUAACUUCUCGAAUCGCACGGCCUUGCGCCGGCGAUGGUUCAUUCAAAUUUCUGCCCUAUCAACUUUCGACGGCUGGGUCUUGGCCAGCCAUGGUGACAACGGGUAACGGAGGGUUAGGGCUCGACCCCGGAGAAGGAGCCUGAGAAACGGCUACUACAUCCAAGGAAGGCAGCAGGCGCGCAAAUUACCCAAUCCCGACUCGGGGAGGUAGUGACAAUAAAUACUGGUACAGGGCUCUUUUGGGUCUUGUAAUUGGAAUGAGUACAAUUUAAAUCCCUUAACGAGGAACAAUUGGAGGGCAAGUCUGGUA